CCCUUAGAUGUUCUGGGCCGCACGCGCGCUACACUGAUUCAUGCAACAAGUUUUGUCCUUGGCUGAUAGGCCUGGGUAAUCUUUGAACGUGAACCGUGAUGGGGAUAGAUGAUUGCAAUUAUUCAUCUUCAACGAGGAAUUCCUAGUAAACGCAAGUCAUCAGCUUGCAUUGAUUACGUCCCUGCCCUUUGUACACACCGCCCGUCGCACCUACCGAUUGAAUGGUCCGGUGAAAUCUUCGGAUCUGAGAGAUGUCUGAUUAAUUUCGGACGCCUUUUGGAAAAGUUGCUUAAACCUUACCAUUUAGAGGAAGGUGAAGUCGUAACA
rnacentral:rRNA from 1 species